GUGGGGUAACGGCCUACCAAGGCUUCGACGGGUAGCUGGUCUGAGAGGACGAUCAGCCACACUGGGACUGAGACACGGCCCAGACUCCUACGGGAGGCAGCAGUAGGGAAUCUUGCGCAAUGGGCGAAAGCCUGACGCAGCAACGCCGCGUGAGGGAUGGAGGCCUUCGGGUUGUAAACCUCUUUCAGCAGGGACGAUUGUGACGGUACCUGCAGAAGAAGCCCCGGCCAACUACGUGCCAGCAGCCGCGGUAAUACGUAGGGGGCGAGCGUUGUCCGGAAUCAUUGGGCGUAAAGAGCUCGUAGGCGGUUUGGUAAGUCGGGUGUGAAACCUCCAGGCUCAACCUGGAGAUGCCACUCGAUACUGCCAUGACUAGAGUCCGGUAGGGGUCCACGGAAUUCCUGGUGUAGCGGUGAAAUGCGCAGAUAUCAGGAGGAACACCAGCGGCGAAGGCGGCGCUCUGGGCCGGUACUGACACUGAGGAGCGAAAGCGUGGGUAGCAAACAGGAUUAGAUACCCUGGUAGUCCACGCCGUAAACGUUGGGCACUAGGUGUGGGUCUCAACCAACGGGAUCUGUGCCGUAGCUAACGCAUUAAGUG
rnacentral:rRNA from 1 species